AUGUCCAUGAUGGCCAAACAAACCAAUAGCAACCGAAGGCAGCAAGGUGCGGGGCAAGGCUUGAGCGACGAGGAUGCCAUGGGCGUGCAACGGAGCAAAGGGGGCGCCAGGGCUCAGGGUCGGCAUGGACGGGCAGAAGCGCUCGGGAGCAUGGCUGCGGGUGCGAGACGGAGGUGGAGGCCCGACGAGGUCGGCGGCUUAGGCCUCCAUGGUGGUAGCGAAGGUCCUCCAAUGGACUUGGGCCACGAUGCGGUCGGAAGCAGCAGAGGAAGGGGCGGCCCUGGCCACGAGGUGCAGCGGCGGGAGCUUCGAGCUCGGCCGGCUGCGGCCAUGGAGGACGGCGGCGCUGAGGCGGGGUAG
rnacentral:rRNA from 1 species